UGCCGGGGCCGUCUCACCCCAGAGGUGGAGGGUGGGUGCCGGGAGGGCGCUAGACGCCGCAGGGCUCCGCGGCUGAGUUCGGGACAGCGGCUGCUUCCCGGAAGCCCCGGUCACCCGGCAGCCUAGGAGCAGAAUGGAGAUUCCGAUUCAGGCUCUCACCUUUAAGUUCCUGAUCCUCAUUUUGACGUAUGUGGCCCAGCCGCAGUCUGACUCUCGCAGAACGCUGUCGGGACAAGGGCUUUGCGGCCAGAGAUCAAGAAAUCUGGCUUCCAGGGCCUGCCAGCCAGCCGCUGAGAAACCUGGGCGCGUUCGCCCCGUGCUGUCUUGGCCUUAGGGUCCUGGCUGAAACAGAGUUGCUGCGAAUCUGCCUAUACUGGCAGCAGCUGGCCGAGUGCUUUCGGGCUGGGAAACUCCACAAAGGUGAAGAAUUAACGUUAACGAGGACCAAAGCCAAGCGCCCGCCCUGCCCUUCAAGGCCUGGUGGACCAGCCUCCGCCAGUCUCUCUGGCCUCAUCUGACCGCUUGGCCCGCGGCUGCCUCAGGGGCGUCAUGGGCUUGAGUGCCUGCGCAGAUGCCUCCCCGGGGGACGUGGCACUGAGCCUGGCCCCGCACACGAGCUUCAGGCCGUCCGCGCGUCCCCCCGCUGUGGUCGCCUCUGGGACUGGUACGUGCCAGGCCCGUGGCCUUGGCCCCAAGGACUGCUUACUCCGUCAUACAGGCAGAGGGCACAGACACGGCACACUGAGCCACCCAGAGAACCGUCCAGAGGCCCCCGGGCUGGAAGGGACUAAAAGUCAGCUGAAAACGAGAGGAAAAGAAGCGCUGGGAGUACGCCGUAGGGUGAAGAUUGGGAGAUGGGGGCAGGAAGCUGGAACAGAGCCUGGAACUAGACCGAUGCUGAGACACCCCUGCGGCGGCGAUCCUCAACCUUCCUGGCACCAGGGACCGGUUUCGUGGAAGACAGUUUUUCCACGGUGAGGGGGGCACGGGUGGUUCAGGCGGUGAUGCGAGCCAUGGGGAGCGAUGGAGAGCGGCAGACGAAGCUUCGCCCGCCCGCCACUCACCGCCUGCUGUGCCGCCCGGCUGCUAACAGGCCAUGGACCGGUACCGGUCCGCAGCCCGGAGGUCGGGGACCACCCCCCCUGGGGUAUUUCAGGUGAGUCAUGGAAGGGACCGCCUGGAUUCAAAUCCCAGCUCUGUCAUUUAACCAGACGACCCAGCGCCUGUGAGGCUCGGUUUUCUCCUCUGUGAGAUGGGGAUGGUAAUGUUGGCCUCAUGGGAUGGAGGUGGGAUGACAGAGGUGUAGGGCUGGCACAUCCGGUCGAUGACCAGUAUCUGUACACACUCCCCUACUUCCUCUCUCACCUAAAGGAGAACUUCAGUUCUGUUAGUUAAAUAACUAACCCAGAUGACUGGCAACUAAGUCACUUCUCCACCCUGGGCCCAGGUCUGCUUUACCAGUUAAGGGGCCAGGGCAGGACAGAAGUCUUCAAAUUCAGGUCCCAACGCAGCACUGCUGGCUAAAGAGGCAGUUACCUGGACCUCAACCCAGACUCCCCAAAUCAGAGUCCUUGGGGGUAGCACCUGGAAUCCAAACUUUUUUAAAGCUCCCCAGAUGAUUCCAGCGUGCAGCAGGCUCUCAGAACCCUCAGCCCAAUGGCCCCUGAAACGUCGUCUUAGCCCUGAGGGUCUGUGUUUCUCUUCCCACCAAAUGCCCCGUGCCGCCUCUGUGGGGGUCUGGCGUCCGUGCAUCUGGUCCAGAGUUCACCUCCUGCUUUCAUCAGAGAUGGGACGGUUCCCCUGCUGCUGACUCAGGUGAUGAGACCCCGAGGCGGGACCACUAAGUCUAGGACUAAAUCUCUAGCCCCGCCCAGUGCCCGGCCCUGGAGGUGGUUCGAGGAGAGGAAACAGCCAACCUCUGAGCCCGGGGCUGCUUUCUCACCACGAAAUAUCUGAAUCUAAAUGGAAAAUAUACAUCUUUAGGGCUGGAGAUGCAUUACAGGAUCAGAACCGAGACCAAGCAAUCCCUUCCUUCUCGUGUAGCAAAGAAAAUGAAAUUCUGCAGAGUUCCUGCUGGUCUUAGAUUUUUCUCUUUUAAGAACAUAAAAAUUACUUACCGUCGCUGAGGUUCGUUCCAAGUUGCCCCUAACAGCUGUAAACUUCCCGGCUUUAUCUAGGGAGCCCUCAGGGCGGUGAAUUACUGUUCACGUAAUGAAUUCCUAUUGCAAAUCCAGCAUUAGCAGAUUUCCCCCAUGAAGACAGAUAAUUUCUUGAACUACAAGUGCUUUUAUGGAGCAGGGGGUUGAGGGAAAGAGGUUUUACUUUACAGUCUCUAAGUGGAUGAUUUAAAAAAGCUCAGUAAAAUGGUUUUACUGGCCAUCAGGGCCACCACAACAGAUGUAUCCGCAAAGGAAACGCCAUCAAUUACACGGUUGGGAUGCUGGGGUGUGUGGGGAGCGGAGGUACAAAGAACACCUAGGCUGUUUUUUUUUAAUUAACAAAAAAUAUGAACGUAUUUGGAAGUAAAUAGAAGGCCCAGUUUUCCCCUUUUGGGCUGAGAGGGUCUUCGGGAGCGAGAGGCAGGAAAACAGUUUUCACCGUUAAACAUGAUAACGAUGACCAUGGCAGUGACAGAGUUAGAAGAACUGAGGUUUAUUCGCAUGGGGAGUGGGGGUGCCCAUAUUCCGGGCGGACACUGACCGAGUGUCUGACCGAGGCCACGGCCGGGCUGUGCACCCGGGGUCCCUGCCCUUCGCUGCCCUGUCUGCACAGUAGCGCAGGGGGGAGACGGAGUGCCGUCCACGCUAGUGCUAAGUCGGACACACAGCCAGGAAAAGCCCAGAGGGUUUCUGCCAAACAGCUGGUGAGAAGUUGGUUGUUUGUUUGUUUUUCUUUCCUGUCAUUUUAUUACAGUGAAGUUUAACAGCAGAGAAAAGUCACAUGACCUUGGUGGAUCG